UAAAUAUCACAUAAUUGCACUUUUAUUUCUAAAACUUUAAUAAUAAAAAAAUGGAGAAAGCAAAAAGUGAGAGUAUCCUAACUCCUACAUUACAUACAUGCCAAAAGGCCAAUGCACCAGAACAAAUGCUUCACAUCAGGCCUAAACCAAUAUCUACACAAUACAAAUCUCAAAUCAUUGUCAUAUAUACACACAUCAAGCCACUAUCUCACUAGCUAAAUUUCAUAGAAAUUGAACUAUUCGAUCAGCACCAAAACAAAACGCCUUAAACACCACUAUCAGCCUUUUGUUCCUCAACGUAGCUAGUGAAAUACCCAACACUACAGUAUAGAAAAAACCAAUGUGAUACAAAUUUACAAACACUACAUUAGUUAACAUUUGUAUAAUAGUGCUAAUUUAGGUAUAAGUUUAUGUAAAUUUUAAUAUUAGAAGUUAACAUAAAUGGAAAAUAAAGUUGUUAAUACCUGACCUAAAAAAAAAGUUGUUAAAAAGUUGUUAAUAAAUUACAGAAGACUAUUAUAUUUUUUGGUUUUUUUGGGUUUGUUUAUUUUUUUACUUUAUCUGGUUGCAUUCUUCUACUUUUUAAGAUGACAAUGAAGUAAAUGUAAAAUCAAUAAAAGUGAAAAAUAAAAAGACAAUCUCAAAAGAAUUUCUAAACAUAAGAAAAAUAAAACAUAUUUAUGGAUCUGAUUAUUGUUUUUUGUCCCGUGUAAAUUCUAUGUAUUUUUUUUUUCUGGAUCUAAAAAAUGGAUAGAAAAAAUAAAUUUAUCACAAAUUUAUGUCUAUUUUGUUUUUUCCAAUUAUGUUUUCAAAUACAAAAUUUCUUUUGUCUUCAUUGUUACCAAUCUAUCAAUUUUGUGAAAAAGAAAGUAAGGGAAAGAAAAAAAAGUAUAUCAAAUUCAAACUUUAAUUAUUUAGUUACUUACUCAUAUCCUUCUUUGUAGUUUGUUUCAGAGAUAAGGAUGUCAUUGGAUGAAAAAAAAAAUGUAGAAUGGUUAGAAAAUUGAAGUUGAAGAUGAGAAGAUAAUGAAGUAGUGUCCAAAAUCAAGUUCCUACUCUUGUUUUCUUAUAUUUUAUUUUUCCGUUUUUUCUGAAAGAAAAAAUUUUCAUUUGCAUAGACAAAGAAGAUGAAGAUGAAAUUUAUUAAAAUGGAGACUAUAAAAUAAAUAGAGAUAAAUAUUGC
rnacentral:lncRNA from 1 species